GGAACUAUGAGCCCCGCUGACUGGCCACGUGACAAUGUUAACAAAUUUGUGGAAAGAUUAUCUACCAAAAUCCAUGAGACAAAAGACUGGGUCAAGUUUGGUGUUAGUCCAUUUGGUAUUUGGCGAUCUGGCUACCCAAGUGGAAUUACAGGCAUAUCCAGUGUAGAAGAUUUCUCCACAGACUCUCGACUUUGGCUGCAGAAAGGUUGGGUAGAUUACUU
rnacentral:sRNA from 1 species